UCCCAAGAUUCUUUGUGCUUUACUUGGCGUACAUGAGGGACCGGUGAAAAUUCAAUUCAAUUCAUCGUGUGUGGGCAGGCGUGUUGAUUAUGUCAUAUCACAACGUAUCGUGUCAUGCUUGCGUCAAGUCACGGCGUGUCGCGUCGUCCCCUGUCGCAUCUGUACGAGGAGUCCUCGGUGCAUCGCGUCGUCUCGCGAUGUACCGCUCCGUCUCCUCUAAUCCUCUCACGGAACGGCGAGGAUGGCGAGGCGCAACUUGACAAGUCCGUUUGUGACGGGUUUCUUGGAUUCGUCGAUCGCGGCAACGGACAGUUAAUCGUCUCCAAGCCGGUCGGUUGUAUUAUCACUCCUUAACGCGAGGAAUGAAAGGGCCGUUCGUUCGAUUGCAAUUUUGCGCGGUAAAAGUCACUACGCGGUCUCGAAGAGAGAAAUGAAAACACAGGCGGGAAAUGUUCACUUGUUUGGCACCUAUUUGUUAGCGAGCAAUUGAUCUCUGUUCGCAGCUGGGCCACAGCCAUAGCAGAUUAUGUCGAGGCAAAGUGCGGAUUCUCCGAACGACACUGUGAACGAGGAGGAGGAAGAGGGGAUGAUCUUGCAGGAUCCUGUGAACAAUCCUGUUCUGGAGUGUCUGUCAGUUAUGAUCAAUGAUGACACUGGAAAGGAUACAAACCCAGUACAGGAACUUAUAUUGGAUGACAAGUUACUUGGUACAAUGGUGACUACGAUUACAUUACCUGAUGGAACUCAAGCUUUCAUCACAAAUAAUCUGAGUGAUAUUAAUCCAGAUUUCAAGACACAAACAUUACAAACGACACUUGAAAAUGGGGAUACUAUCUUGCUGCAAGAUUUGUCAGAAUUUGGGGAUGGAAAGGCUCUCCAAUUGGAAUUGGAUCCAGCUACAUUUGUACAAGCUGAAGAUCCUGCUACUGAAAAUGUAGAAAAUACAUAUUCGCAGGUGGAAUUUAUUAAUGGCACUGCUUACAUGGUGGCUGGUCACGUGGAUGUAGACGAAAAUUUAUGGGAAAUUGAAGAUGGAAAGUUAAAGAAAAAAGAUCCUAAGAUUUUAAUCAACAAGCUGUCUGACACAAAAGUCAGAUACCCUUGUCCCAGAGAGGGAUGUUCAAAGGUUUACAGCACACCUCAUCAUCUCAAGGUCCACGAACGUUCGCAUACCGGCCACAGGCCAUACAGAUGUAAUCAUCCAAAAUGUAAAAAGAGUUUUUCAACCGGCUACAGCCUGAAAGCACAUUCACGAACGCACACGGGAGAGAAACCGUAUAAAUGCACGAAUGGAGGUUGUAACAAAAGUUUCAAGACAUCAGGUGAUUUGUUAAAACACGUGAGAACUCACACUGGUGAACGUCCCUUCGUGUGUCCAUUUAACGGUUGUGGCCGAUCGUUCACCACAAGUAAUAUUAGAAAGGUUCACGUAAGGACACACACUGGUGAGCGACCAUACAAAUGCACGCAACCGAUGUGUGGUAAAGCAUUCGCCAGUGCAACAAAUUACAAGAAUCACAUACGUAUACACUCAGGCGAGAAGCCUUAUGUUUGUUCCAUAGAAAACUGUGGUAGAAGGUUUACCGAAUAUUCUAGUCUAUAUAAACAUCAUCUUGUACAUACACCACAACGACCAUUCGAAUGCACACUAUGCUCCAGGAAGUAUCGUCAGAGUAGUACGCUGAUAAUGCACAAGAAAACAGUUCAUGCAUUAGUCGAUAGUGACGACGAUGCCGAUCCUUCUUUGCAAGAUUCUCUUGAAUCUUCUAGUCAGAAUAAAAAUAUACAGAAGGUAGUGAAAGAAACUCAGAAGUUAUUAGCGAAAGAUAAGCAGAUCCAGAUUUCUAAAAUGACCGAUGAUACAAACGAAAAAGAGCCACAAAUUUUGUUGGUAGGCGAUUCUUCGCAAAUUGCUGCAUUACAAAAGAUCGAUUUGGAUGAAAGUUUUGAUGAUCCUGGCAUCGAUACAUUCGAAGGAUUAAAUAUAAAAAUCGAAGACAUAGAAUUUGGAUGGAACUAAUGCAGUCAGAGAGGAACACGUGACGUAUGUGCGCAACAAAAUUUUAAGCAUUGAAUGCCACUUCGUAUGUGUGAGAAAAGUCUUAAACAUUACAUGUUAAUCUUGUUAAUAUUUAUGAAUGUGCUUUUAAUACCAGAGCGAAAUCAAAUGAACAAAUGAAACUUAAAAAUAAUAUCAAAUGAUGAAUUGCAGAGUGACAAGUUGCAAGCUGAAAUUUAAGUUUCUUAUCAAUUUUAUAAAUCUAUUAGACAGAAAUAUAGAAUAGCGCAUCAAUGAUUUUUUUACAAUAACGAAUAAUAAUUGAUGACAAUUUUCAUUAGCUUAAAGAUCAUGAAGAUUGAUCCGAUGUGACGGAUUACAUUUCUAAUCAACAGAUAUAAUAAGAUGCUAAAAAAGAUUUUUAGAAGAUAUAUUUUUCAUUUUUGCAUCGAAUUUAAUGAUCCGGCGAAAUUGUAUAAUCGUCGAUUCAUUCUCCGAACGUUAGCGAGGAAGAAAUUCUAUGAGUCUGAGGCAUUUUAAUUUUAUGAUAUAUGCAAUAUAAAAUUAUUAUUUUAUUUUUUUAAUACUUCGCAGAUAGUCAAAUCUGUUGGAAACCGAUUUUACAAAGAGUUUGCUUAAACAAAUCUUGUUAGCAAAAUAUAUUAGUAAAUAUAUAAUAAAAUACAAUAAUAAAUUAAUCAUAGAAUCUGUCAUUAACAGAUGUUAUGGUAAGUCUGGAACACUUCGUAUAUAUGUAUAAAAUAAAUAUUAUAUUUUAGUUUAUUUAAAAGUUAAAAUGCUAGAUUUUUUUCUACCAGUAAUUUGCUAUGUCAAGAAUCUGCUGAAAGAUUAACGUGAGCUUAUUGUGUACGUAGUUUGUGUCAAUUUGCCUUAAUAUCCUGUUUAAAUUUACUGGCAAACUGCUAGUAUAUUGCUAAUAUUUUGCUUAACUGAUAUUUUUAAUUGAUAAUUUUAUUGUUGCACUGUUGAAUUAUUUCUUAAAAUCAAAUUAAAAAAUAUGUAUUAUUUAUCUAUCAAACUUGCGAUGUCGAAUCUUGUCAGUUUAAACUGCGAUUGCAAAUGUUUUUUUCAUGUCGUUAAAUAAGACUGUAUAAAUCAUAGCUUAAUUGAAUGUGUGUGAAAAGAAGUGUGUGUGUGUGUGUGUGUGUGUGUGUGUGUGUGUGUGUGUGUGUGUGUGUGUGUGUGUGUGUGUGUGUGUGUGUGUGUGUGUAAAAUAAAGAAUUUUGUUGUGAUUAAUAUUAUAUUAUGGUGUGAGGUAAUAUAAAAAUAUGAACACUACAUUAAAAUAUGUGAUGACAUUAUAAUGAUGAAUAUAAUAUUUGUAUUGUAUACAAAUGUUUGAAGAAGAUCAAGAAAAAUAUAUGUAUUAAGUUUUGUACCUUUAUUUUUCCGAGAAUUAAAUUGUUUUUUUGUAAGUACAUACUAUGAAAUAAGUUUUAACAAAUUUGAUAAAAA
rnacentral:misc_RNA from 1 species